GGGUUGCGACCUCGAUGUUGAAUUAAAGUAUCCUUAUGGUGCAGCAGUUAUAAGGGAGGGUCUGUUCGACCUUUAAUUCUUUACGUGAUCUGAGUUCAGACCGGAGACAUGUCUCUUGUAUAGCUUUUGAAGUUUACUUUUAAGUGAAAAGGCUUAAAUAGAUCUUGGGGGACAGAUAAGACCCUAUAAAACUUUACAGUUUCACUUUUGCUUUUUGAAUUAAGGUUUAAAAUUAGACAUGAGUGGUCUGUUGUGUUGUGGCGACAAAGAUAAAACAAAGUAACUGUCAGGAAAAAAAAAUAAAAAUAAUUAUAGUAGUUGAUCCUUUGGUUAGAGAUUAAAAGAUUAAGUUACUUUAGGGAUAACAGCGUAAUUCUCUUUGAGAGUUCUUAUCGACAAGAGUAGUUGCGACCUCGAUGUUGAAUUAAGGGUUCUUUCAGGUGUAGCAGCUUGAGUUAGUGGGUCUGUUCGACCCUUAAAACCUUACGUGAUCUGAGUUCAGACCGGAG
rnacentral:rRNA from 1 species